AGCUGGCCUGAUGGUGGUGGGUUAACAGAACUUACUAGCAUUACUGUCACUAAAGUUGGUAUACAACGUCCCACUGCUAAAUUUGACUGGCUUUUA
rnacentral:Y_RNA from 1 species